AUACGUAGGGAGCGAGCGUUGUCCGGAAUUACUGGGCGUAAAGGGCGCGUAGGCGGCGCUUCAAGUCGUCUGUCAAAUGGGAGGGCUUAACCCUUUUUCGCGGACGAAACUGGAGAGCUUGAGAAGCAGAGAGGCAAACAGAAUUCCUGGUGUAGCGGUGAAAUGCGUAGAUAUCAGGAAGAAUACCAGUGGCGAAGGCGGUUUGCUGGCUGCAUACUGACGCUGAAGCGCGAAAGCCAGGGGAGCAAACGGGAUUAGAUACCCCGGUAGUCCUGGCAGUAAACGAUGUAUGCUGGGUGUGAGACUAGCGAUAGUUUCGUGCCGAAGUUAACGCGAUAAGCAUACCGCCUGGGGAGUACGGUCGCAAGAUUGAAACUCAAAGGAAUUGACGGGG
rnacentral:rRNA from 1 species